AGAGCUGAGAGCCACCUACUAGCGGCAGGUGGAGCCUCGAGACGGGUGCUGUCGUGGUGAUGGAGGCGCACGCUCGCUUCCCACGCAGUUUGGCCUUUUUGACGUCCCUGGCUGUUGUGGGCAACCGAUUUGGUUGGUCGCGCUGCUUCCUACGCUCGCCGGCGGAGCAGCUAGUGGCACCUGCUCGGAGAGAGGGAGUGGAUCUCUCGGAAGUGCUUGGGGUUUCGCUGAAGCGGACCUGAACAGACCAUGUGUCCUUUAAAUACAGCCAUGCUUUUAGAAACGGACUGUCACUUUAUGUGGACUCAACCAUUGAACAGAAUGUGUGCUUUUGUGAGUGCUGCAAUUCCUUCAAGUGUAAUUGCGCUACUGCAUUUUUGUUGGUCGCAGGGAAGGGGUGUGCCUGCAAAUGUCCGCGUGGUUCGUCCUCAGCCUCUUCCUUUUUACACUGUGCUAGGAUGUUUACUUGCUUGUGGUGGAGGUAGGGGAAGCCAGUAUUUGUGUACUGUGUACUGUCCUGAACCGGCUUUCAUUCCUAACUUUUCAAAGAUUGCUUUAAAGGGGGGGGGGCGCGGGUCAAAUAUUGUUUUAAAGGGGGGGACGGGGUGAGGUCAAUGGUGUGUGCCUUGUAAGUAGAAAUGAAUGAAAGGAAUUUUACUAAUGUGUCACUCAAUUGUUUGAGCUCCUUCUGUUUUGCAUGCCAAAAAUAUAAGGCAAGGAAAAAUGUAUCAUUCUAUCAUGAUUUUAUGGUGCUCUAAUUAAAGGUGUCUUCCC
rnacentral:lncRNA from 1 species